CUUAUCUUUGCGGCGUUUUGUUCUGUCUCCCUGUUCGGGGAACAGAUGAAAAGGGAAUCGGGUGAAAGUCCCGGACAGUCCCGCUGCUGUGAAUUUCGUUGAGGGUGUAUCAUUCUUAUGCCACUGUUCUAUUAGGAAUGGGAAGGCGAUACAUCAGGAAUAAGUCAGAAGACCUGCAAAACAAAGUCGAAAAAU
rnacentral:ncRNA from 2 species